GAUGAAGAACGUAGCGAAAUGCGAUAAGUAAUGUGAAUUGCAGAAUUCAGUGAAUCAUCGAAUCUUUGAACGCACAUUGCGCCCGCCAGUAUUCUGGCGGGCAUGCCUGUUCGAGCGUCAAUUCAACCAUCAAGCCCCCGGCUUGUGUUGGGGACCUGCGGCUGCCGCAGGCCCUGAAAACCAGUGGCGGGCUCGCUAGUCACUCCGAGCGUAGUAGUUACAUCUCGCUCAGGGCGUGCUGCGGGUUCCGGCCGUUAAAAGCCUUAUUUACCCAAGGUUGACCUCGGAUCAGGUAGGAAGACCCGCUGAACUUAAGCAUAUCAAUAAGCGGAGGA
rnacentral:misc_RNA from 1 species